CUAAACCAAAAGCAACAUUAAGUAUAGUGAACUGUGGCUGAAGCAGCACUGAGAGGAUAAAGGAACAUAGUGGUAACCAACACAGGACUGUGUGCUGCAUGGAGCUGAACAACCAGCUGCUUCUGACCAGUCUUCCCUGUGUUGGUUGCUUUGAGGAUCUCUGUGCUAGCUGAUUUAUCUACAAAGACAAUAUCAGUUGGCAACAAACCCAAGUUUCAUCAAGUUCUUCUACAACUGGCAUAAGAUAAAAGAAGCCAGAGUCUUGCCUAGUAAACUGGAAUUCACAUGAGAAGUGAAGUUCUACAGGACAAGAUUAAUAAGUCUGAGCAUCUGUGCCUAUCAACACAUCAGCAAAGUAGAAGGGCACAGAUUAAGAGUUCUCCAAUAGGAAGAAUGAAAAUUGGAGCUGUGAUACAAGCAGGUUCAAGAAUUACCCCACUGUUACUGUCCCCAAGGCUAAGAGAAAGCAGGCAAAAGGAUAGUAACAACAAGAGUUACUUCCACAGAAGCCUCAGAAGUCCUUAAGGUAUGGAGGAGGAAGAAAUACCUAGAACAGAUGAUUGGAGCAAAUGUUGCUAGGAGAGAGAAAUGGUGAAACUGAUCUUUCAGGGAAAGGAAAAGAUCAGCUUCAAGAAGAAAUCAAGAAUCCUGUGAUAGAGAAAGAAAAAAGAGAAGCAACAUAGGACAAGGAGAGAUACUGGAAAAGGUGGAAAUCUUCACAGAAAUAAUGUGAUUUUAAAAGCCGUAAUGCAUGCUAUUGUUUAACAGUGUCUUUAGUAAUCUGCUAACUAGGGGUUCAUAUACACUUUUAUCCAGCUGUUUGCAUAUUGUGUACUUGCAUAUGAAGAUGCAGAAUUGCAUUGCUAACACUUACAAGCUGUUUCCAAUGUUUCAGAAAUAAGGACCACAAAAUGUCAUGAACCUGAACCAUUUAAUAAAUGCAAUAUCUUCCUUUUACAAUUGAGAUACUUUCAGAAUCAUCUACAUAUAUGGGACCUUGAAAUGAAGCAACCUGUGAAAGACUAUUCCUUGUCUUUGCCCUGGUUAGCUAUUCAAGUUUUUGCCGUUAUCUGAAUGAGGAAAUGUCUUUGAAAAAAAAACCAGUGAUUAGGAUUAGUUUCCAAGUUUCUUCACUGAGUUAACAAACUUUGAAGAGAUUUCUGAAAGAAAAGCUUUUCGAUUUGAUAACAUCAUUACUGUACAAUGGUUUUUAUUUCAUCUGCCAUUACUGAAUUCCUAAUGAUAUAACUCUGAAUAGGUAGAGUAUCUUAAAACUUCUUUCAAUGGGUGGUGAGUAACAAAACACAGAUCUUCAUGCAGUUUUAAGAAAAAAAGUACUGUGAUUGGCAAAAGGAAGACAUUUGUUUUUGUUACAGUCAAAAAGAUUCUCUUCUGCUAAUAAAAUUGCCCAUUAAAUCUA